UGAACAGAGAGAGGAGAGGCUCUACUGAAGGCUCAUAAUUAGUAGUAGUACACAACUGGAAAAUUGAAAGAUCAGGCUCCACCACUGAAGACUCAUAAUUAAAGAUUGGGCUAUUCACCAAGAGAUGGAAGAGUCUGCAAUGGACCAACAGAAUUGUAGACCAACAGAUGCCGUCAGGAUUUCCGUUAGAUUGACCGCGUCAACUCGCAUAGGACUGGGAAGAUGAAACUGUAAAGUAUGAAGUUACCACAGGGGUUUUUAGGGGAGAAGGAGAGAAGUAGCUGCAUCAAGGAGGAGACAAAGGUCCAGUUUGAAGAAACCAUCAACGUGCAAACAGAGCACAGUUGAAGUCUUCUCCCUCGUCAUCUCCUCCUCAUCCUGCAAAGAAGAAAGCGUGAAUCCGAUAAACAAGAAGAUUACAAACCAAAAGAUGAGGAAGACGAUGGUGAGAAAAGCUGGGUCUUAAGCUUAGGCUGCUGGGUUUUCAUGAUGGGAAUGGGAUCAAGUUCCGCCACCUUUUCUAAUUAAUUUAUUUUCUUUAUAGUUUUUGUGACUAUCACUUGAUCAAUUUUGAUGGUUAGCUCUUUGUUUUUGAUGGGUAGCAUAGUUUGCUUUUGAUUACAUGAGGCAUUUGUACGUUUUGAGCGAAUGAGCAUUGACCAAUGUGGGUUGUCAUUUCUUUGAUAUCUUUGCCAUUCCUGGGAAAUCUCACUGCUCUUGAAUCCCAAGGGAGGUCAUUAAAACUCUUUUUAAUCCCAUUUUUAACAAACCCUGGGAGUUCUAACUUUGCUUAUAUUUGAACAUUUGCUUACAUAUGCCAAAGUUAUAGAGGCUGCUCCCAGAGGUAAAAUCAAAAUCAAAAGUAAGCUUCUUUCCUCUUUAUACAAAAUCAGAGAGAUGAGUUUGAGUGGCUGCUUAUGGCUAGAUUACUGAUUUUGUGGGACUAUGAAUCAACCUAUAGGUUAGAAAAUUUUAAAUAAUUGGAUCUUUAAAGAAUCAAACAUUUUGUGCACAUUAGCUGUUUGAAUAAAUGCUCCAAAUGCAAUUUUUUGGCAAAUGUCUCAUGCAUUUUACCUCUUUGAAUAGGUUCACUUCCAAUUCCAACAAUGGCUAAUUCUUGCGGUUUUGUGUUUCGUGACUUCCGUGGGGUAUGUUGUCUUUGACUGCAACUCCAUAUGUGAAACCUAGCCAAUUACCCUUGUGCAAAUUUCAGCAACCUAUGCAACCUAGAGCUUUAUUUGCAUGCGUAGUUUUGAACAUUUGCUAGAGACGUGAGAACAUUUCUACAUGAUAAUAGGUCGAAUGUGUCCUGCUAUAUGUUGCUGUGCAGAGUGGUUACAAAGCUCUUGCUUGUAAAUGAUUUUUUGCUUGAGUUCAGUUUUCUCCACAGAAAGCAUGUAGUUUUUUUUUUAUCUUUUUUUUUCUUUUUGUGUUGAAGUUGAUCUGAGACUAGUGACACACACACACACACACACCACUCCUCUAAGUAGCAGUGAAGCUCAUUAAUGGGGGGCAUUUCAUGCAUGACCAGAUGGCACUUAUAACAAUGAAUAUGGACAGCUUGGAACAAGGGAUACAGAAACGAGAUCACAACACAUUUCUGUCCAUGGGCUUUUUGGUCUUACUUCCGGGUCUAUAUGUCCUAUUUGUUUUUGUUCAUUUCUUUUAGUCCUUUGUACUUGUUCAGCACCACUGUGAUUUGUUUGCCUUCUCAAAUAUUAUUAUCCACUGAUGUGUGAAAUAUGUGUUCUGCAGACCUUAUUUUACACUAUCAUAAUUUUCUCGUCUUAUGUAGAAGUUUUAGAAUCUUUGUAGACCAUAUUGUACUAACAAAAACAUGCUACAGAAACUUCAAAUUAGCAGCAUGUUCUGAUUGGUCUAAAAAGGUUGCUUUAGUCAUUAGUUAGCGGUGGGAUAUCUACUGAAUUGCAACUACGUAAGCAAUUGCUACUGUUAGACAGUGUUCUUUGGCAUUCAUUUCCAUAACAAAGUGCCUAAAGAUUGGAAACAUCUUUACCACAUAGACAGGUUUGAACACUUAAUCAUUGCAAAUGUUGCUAUUGUUCCUCUAGAUCUCAAGAUGAAUCGACUAAAUUAGUUAUUCUUUUGAGUUUAUUUUUGUCCUUGGAAGCUAGUCAUAUAAAAAUCAGAGAAUAUCUGUGUCAUACAUGACCCAGCUCAUUCUGUCACUUCUAUGUUGUAAAACAGUAAUGAAGAUGUAGCUAUGCUUCUCCGUUGUGACUUACGACCUUAUACCAUUUCAAGAAACAGAAGAAGUACUUGAGAUCUCUUAUUGUUACUUGCUCUUGUUGACAAAUUGCCCUCGAGUUACAUCAGAACUUCAGAAGGAUUAAAUAUAGUGUCGUGAACAAAUUGAGAUUAAUAGCCAUGUUAGGAUGCAUCUGAUGUAUAACUGCUCCAUUCCAAAAGUGAAUUUUGGGAAAGCAAAUUCCAACCAAAUUCCAUCAUGACAGUUUUGUAAUGUUUUACUGCUCAAAGUAAAAGCCUUUCUUGGAAUGUAAAGAAUUUCCCAAUAAUUGUUCUAACUCUCCAGUUUAAAAGUGUUG